AAGCCUGACUACCCUGAGACCACCACGUUGGAGUGGCCAUGGUAGAUGCUCCAGUCUACAUUUCCAGCUGAGCCCAGCCUUUGGCCAACCCAGCCCAGGGACCAGGCAUGGGAGUGAAGAAGCCAUCCUGGAAGUCUUAGAAGCCAUCUAUUCCAAACCCCAGCUGUUUGGAUUACUCCAGCCACGCACGAAAUCCCAGGAGAGGCUCCAGACCUCAUGGAACAGGGGAAUACUGCCCUGCUGUGUCCUGCCCAAAUUCCUGAUCCACAGACUCUACGAACCCACUAAGACAGCUCAGACCUGCUCAGCAGGGAGGUGAACUGCUAGACAAGAGGCCCUCAUCACUUGGGCAUCACCAUGAAGUGGGAAAAGUCCCCUGGGACUACCUGCACAGCAUGAAGUGGGCUUCAGGAGUUGGAGGCCGAAUAAAGUGGGAUGAGGAACCGGGUCUCACCAACAGGCUGCCUUCAGCCUGGCUUUACAGAAAUUGUGACACUGAGCCUCACAACGUUGACAAGAGGGUUGGUUACAAAUGAGUGACUUGGGGAGGGUUUUAGCCAUUUCCAGUGGGGAUGGAAGAGCCUGGCUGAGCUGGAAGUGGAGCUGAGUGUGGUGCCAGGAAAGCAGAAAGAACUCCUGGCAUUUUCCAAGAAAGAACACACCCCCAUCCCUAAACCCCCAACAUACAUACCAAUGCAGGUCAUAAGGGUGGCCCGUAUCCAUGAUGGUCUGGGCAACCAGAGCCCCAUGGGAACCCAGCACUAUAGGCUGUCACUUGGCCCAGACCAGCAGGAGGGCUGUGAAGCGGGGAUCGUGCACCAGAGCCAGCAAGG